CCAAUAAAUGAGGGAAGUUUGCUCCGCCUCAACCACCAGUUUGAGUCCUGUUUCCCUGUCUCCUCUGCCGCCCCGGUAUACUUCACCUAACACAACGCAGAGACCUCGCUGGGGCUUGCUACCUGAAAGAUAGGGUUACACAUAGAAGAAGAUGGUGGAUGGCAUGACUCAUGAUCCAUGUUCAAGGCUAGUAGCAUAAGGGGGCCCUGGAAACAACAUCCAGUUUGCCAUGUCUCUUCACUCUGCAAGGAGCACACCGUGGUCGCAUAAAAAGGAUGUACAGUACAUCAUCAUAACACUGCUCUAUGUGCAGAUGAAAAGGCAGCACAGGGAUGAAGAGGAGCGACACAGAGACAUUAUUUCAGUAAAAUAAACCUAAAGGAAG